rnacentral:tRNA from 2 species
GCCCGGGUGGCGAAAUGGCAGACGCAACGGACUUAAAAUCCGUUGGCCGCAAGGCCGUGCGGGUUCGAGUCCCGCCCUGGGCACCA